UAAUACAGAGGGGGCAAGCGUUAUUCGGAAUUAUUGGGCGUAAAGGGCGCGUAGGCGGCUUUUCAAGUGACGGGUGAAAUCCCUCGGCUUAACCGAGGAACUGCCUGUCAGACUGGAAGGCUUGAGACCGGGAGAGGUGAGUGGAAUUCCCAGUGUAGCGGUGAAAUGCGUAGAUAUUGGGAGGAACACCAGUGGCGAAGGCGGCUCACUGGACCGGAACUGACGCUGAGGCGCGAAAGCGUGGGGAGCAAACAGGAUUAGAUACCCUGGUAGUCCACGCCGUAAACGAUGAGUGCUUGGUGUAGCGGGUAUCGACCCCUGCUGUGCCGAAGUCAACACAUUAAGCACUCCGCCUGGGGAGUACGGUCGCAAGACU
rnacentral:rRNA from 1 species